CUCCAACGAUGAACACCAGUGGGAGCACGGACGACGACACAUGGAGCUUCGGCGAUCGACGCGACGCGAGCUCCGGACGGGUCGACAAGGGCCGACCGCGACGCCGCUGCGUUGGGCAGGGAGCCGCGCCGCGCACGGGGCUGCUGCGGCUAGGGCUGGCUGGGUCUGGCCGCCGUGCCACGCUGGCUGAGAGCCGUUGGCUGCGCGCCACGGGCCGCUGGCCGCGUUGGCUGGGAGCGCCGAGCUCGCGCGCGCUCGCGCAGGCUGGCCGCGCCGGGGGUGGAGCAGGGGCGGCUGGCCGGGCUGCACCGCCGGCCGUCGCGCCAUGGCCACCGGUCACUGCGCCGGUCUCGCAAGGUCCCCCAAUGGAACCGGCGAGGGAGAAACAAGGGAGAGAUGGGGGAAGAAGGUGGAAUAGUGCGGGCGUGGGGGCGCGCUUGGCGAACGAAGAAGUUCGGGAAGAUGAACAGUGGGCGACGCU
rnacentral:misc_RNA from 1 species